rnacentral:lncRNA from 1 species
UCGUUUGACGAGUCCAGAGGGACGUCAGCGAGACUACUUUGAGGCAGAGUUCUUUUUUAAAGAAGAAGCUGAAGAUGCAUUGCAGAACUGCAAAAUCCCAAACAUGACCAUUGAAUGGGCUGAAGCAAACAUAUCAGACAAUCCACUUACAGGUAAUGAUAAGUAUAAGUAAAUCUUGAGCCUGCUUAUUGGUUUCACGAGAAAUAAUUCGCUUCUGUCAAUACAGGACCAGCACAAAUUUCGUAUGACCCACCAAGGUGUGACUACGAUGAUUUUAACAUUCUGGUAAACAGCUCGAGCACAACUUUUAAAUAAUUCGCUUAUUGGUCUGAAGCAAACAUAUCAGACAAUCCACUUACAGGUAAUGAUAAGUAUAAGUAAAUCUUGAGCCUGCUUAUUGGUUUCACGAGAAAUAAUUCGCUUCUGUCAAUACAGGACCAGCACAAAUUUCGUAUGACCCACCAAGGUGUGACUACGAUGAUUUUAACAUUCUGGUAAACAGCUCGAGCACAACUUUUAAAUUAAGCACAUGUUCCUUCGUAUUGCAUGUAUGCGUAUCUCCCUCGUAUUCGUUGCUGGUCGUGUGUGUUCUUCCCUGCAACGAGAUAGUAAAUGAGAGGUCGCCGAUCAAGUAGGAGUGCCUUCGCCGGCCAGAAAGCACGCGGCGCCGGCGCCAGGCCCUGCUAGGAUGCCGCCCUCCAGCAAAUGAGACAGCUACCAGCGCGGUGGCGCUGCCGCCGUUUCACGCGGGGGCAUGCAUGCAGCCAUUGCCCACACCACCGCAAUAAAGCCCCUGCCCAGGAUGUCACACGUACAUUCCAGCCGCCGCAAUGACCUUGCUAUCUCGUGUCACCAUCAAUUUGAUGGCUGUUUAAAAAAAGUAAAUUCAUUCAUUAACACGUACUGUAGCUAAAACCAACAGGUUAUAUUUAUACUUGAAUAUCUUCUAGAUUUACUUGAUGAUGGUAAACAGAAUCAGAACUAAGUAACUCGUUCUGGUUCUGUUUACAAAGAUGGCCACGCAACAAUCCGUUCUGGUUCUCGUUCUGCUAAUGGGUAUUUCCUUCUCAUAGAACAUGCAUGCCCAUCUUUGUAAGAAGUUACCUGCCAGCUCUUGAAUUGCUUUUUCCUUAAAAUUUAACAUUUUAAUUUGUUUUGUGCAGCCAUUAGUACCACAGCCACGAAACAAUCCUUUUCACAUAAAAUGGGUAUUACCUAAAAUGCCGAAAAGACAACAAGGCCAGCCAGAAGAACCUCAAUUACCAGCCGCUCGCUAUUCCCCUGAAAAAGUUAAGGUUGAGCCAGCAGACCCAAGAAAACCGGCCAAGCCGCGGUACUGGCCUAAGUUUCCAAUAUAUCUGCCAAUAAAAUGACGCCUCGGAUGAGAAAGGCUACAUCGGCUCGCAGUAAGGUACCCAACAAUCCUUUCUCUGCAUCGCAAUAGUUGGGGCAGAUAACUUUUUGGAGCUAAAAUUUUCGAACAUGCUAAACAAUCAAGCUUUCCUCUGUUUUUUUGUUGCAUCAGCCAACUAUUAGUUGUAGUGUUAUUUUAGGGAACGNNNNNNNNNNNNNNNNNNNNNNNNNNNNNNNNNNNNNNNNNNNNNNNNNNNNNNNNNNNNNNNNNNNNNNNNNNNNNNNNNNNNNNNNNNNNNNNNNNNNNNNNNNNNNNNNNNNNNNNNNNNNNNNNNNNNNNNNNNNNNNNNNNNNNNNNNNNNNNNNNNNNNNNNNNNNNNNNCAGCGCUUUCAUCGCUGGACCGAACAAAAUCAAAAUAACAAAUGUUAAAACUGGUCGUCUGAAUGCAAACAUAACAAAUGUUAAACUGGUCGCCUGAAUGCAAACAUAAUGGUGUUUACUGUAGUACCAUGUGAAUUUGGUCUCAGCGAGUGCUGGGAACUUCACAUUCCAGCCUUGUUUGCUUGCUGGCCAUCCGGCAUAGUAGUAUGUUAGGCACUGGAACAAAGCAUAAUGUAGCUUUCAUGCUAGGAUCUCGUCUCAUUGCUGAGUAGGUAGGCCUGGACAUUUCUCUGUGUACAUCGGAUCAAUGUCUGUCAUCGGUCAUGUAACAAUGUCCCGAAAUAUGACCAUCCAACCUUCAGGUUAUAUACAGGUUAGGAGUGAAGAACAAAAACAAUAACCACAUAAAUGUGACCCGCAUCAGAAUAAUGUAAAGGGGAAAGCCGAUACGACGUGCAAGAAGCUUGUAUUUCCCAUAGCAGUUGUGUUGAUGUGAUGUCAUACUUCAGUGCAUGAGCUGCUAAUUGGUUCUGAAACGCAUAAAGUGUGCACAUAGUCGCAAUCAGGUAACACAAGUGUCUGGUGGAUAAUGCAUCAAUAUGUCAGCAGCUGAUUCAAAAAUGUUAGCUAUUUGUCAGUAUGUCAGCCAGCAGAACUUCACUCACCAAGAAUUCAGGUUCAAGUGGGUGCCUCCAGGUUAGGUAUGGCGAUCCUUCCGUCUGCUUCCUGGCCAGCCUGACAAUACCGACGAAGAAUAACUAACAUCAGCUCGUGGUCGAUUGGCGCGUCGCCACCAAGCUGCUCCUUCAACGCCACCCCUGUUAUCCAUACGAACCUUAGAUUCUCGUGCACAAAGAAAUUCCUGCAAAACAAAAGCGUCAAUUCUGUUGGUUAUGUCGAUUCCGGUACUAGUACACCGUAUGCUUGUGUCAGUUCCGGACUUCCGGUACUAGUACUACCUCGAAAGCUUAAUUUAGACAUACAGCUUGUGUCGAUGCCAGGCUGACCAAGAGACAAUAACACAAAUUCAAAUAUUUUGCUCCAAGCUCCCAAGCUUAAUUUAGACAUACAGUUGCAUGGAAAAUAUAGCCAACCAUGGCAAAUGACUCAUUUUUACAAAAGUUUUCUGCCCACACUUGCUGAAUCGCAGAACGAGCUACUCUUUACUACUGGAAUUUGCAACGUUUAAUUACCAACAAAUCUUAUUUCCUGCAGCAGCCAUGGUAAAUGACUCAUUUUUACAGAUGUUUUCUGCCCACACUUGCUGAAUCCCAAAGCCAGCAAUUCUUUACUACUCAAAUUUGCGAGAUAUAAUUACCAACAAAUCAUAUCUUCUGUCAAUCUGCAAUUCUGCAUACCUUCGCAUCCACCCAGGACUUUUGGGGUCAAUCUGAUGUAUGGGUUGCUCAGAUGUCUGUGCCUUGUCUCCCGUCGCUGGGUCGCGGCAGCACAGAUCUGGGCGUCCACAGUUGACGCCGUCGUGGCCGGCAGCUCGCCCCUAGUGCAGGGGCUCCAUAGGUGAUAGGUAUGUCGUUCACCUCCUCUAGCGGAGUUCUGCUGCAUACCAACAAGCGUCAAUUAGAUCUUUAGAAAUCCCCAAUUCAAACCCUGCGGAGUAACUCGAACUAAGGAACAGAUCUGUACCUGUUAAUCCGCUGCAUCAAGAACUCCAUGUACGGCGGAGUGGGCAGUCGCCUUGUCACAGACGGUGGCUCCACCGGUCGCCGCUCUCACCAAAAGAAGAUCCAUGCUCGGGGAGUUAGGAGACAGGUGCUCCAGCGACCCAUGGCUGCAUUUACUUCAGUCACUGCCGCCGUUACCGGAAAGCACCAAAUCUGAUCCACGGAUCAGGAAGGGAAUUACGUCUCGAGCCCACUCGAGCCACGGCCCUGUCCCAUUCUCUCCACGGCGUCUCAACGUUCAUUGUGUAUAUCUGAGUUUUCUAAUUCUUGGUGGACCCUGGCCCUGUCACAUGCUUCAAUUCAACGAAUCACAAAGACGUGACCAACGGGACAGAUAACGAGCGCCAGUGUGCUCGAGUUCACAUACUCUGCGUCCCUUUUGUAUCUAGUACUACGUCAUUCCCCCUUUAUGCUUUGCUGCUUGCUUGCUUUCUUCUUACAUGCGAUUUUUGUGUUUCGUGAAUGACUUAUUAUGGCAUUUCAACAUGUUUGCAGCUCCAGGAGUAGAAGAAUCUUUUGUUGAGAAACAAGACAUUCAAGGCUCUCUUUCUCUUGUCGAGAAAUAAGACAUUCAAGGCUCUCUUUUCUUAAAAGAAAGUGCAUUUUUUGUGGAAUUGUGGGAUUCGUCCCUUCACUACUUUUUUUUGGUAGAGCUGCUGUCUCCUAGAGCUUACUGUGCAAUAGACAUGCAUGAAGUAUUCGUAGUCUUUUUUAUUCAAGUUUAGAUUUCCAAGCAUAUAUGCUAUAGCCUAAAAAAAAACUGGUCGAAAUGCAGGUUUGGUCUGUUGUUGAAGCUGUUUUUUAUCCCAGAAACCCAAAUUUUCAGUUUUUACCAAAUGGAUGCAUUUUUUUGUGUGUGCCAUUGAAGACUAGAUGAUUAGUCGCGCUUUUGCUGCGCCGGGAAACAUAUAGAUGUAGGUUUGACAUCCUUUAGAAACUCAAAGUAAAUAUCGCAGCAAAACAGAGAUAUGGAUCAGACCAAAUUCUACCUAUAGCUUGUUUGAGAGGCUUAGAACUGGAAAUAAUGCCUAUUUU